GUAAUAACAAAAACUAAAAAACACACAUCUGGGUGUGUUGGAGUUCGACGACCAGAAAGGAAGAAAGGGGGUAAACCCUAGUUGAUCAAAAAUCCAGCAAUUGAUAAGGGAUUUCAAGGUUUAGUUGAUGCAUGAAGCUCAAUUCUCGACCAUCUAACCUUUCUUAACAAACGGUAAGUCGAAUUUUGAGAUUUGGUGAUUAUGAAGAAAGUGGGGAUAAAGGAGGAGAGUUCGAGUCGCACAAAGAAAGAAGGAAAUCAAGAUCGAGGCGACUUGGCAAUUUGGAGCGAGCAUAUGCACACCUUAUGGUUAUCAAGCGCUUCCGCUAUUACGUAUUAAUGUUUUGGGUCAAACGCUCGUUUUUGUGUAACAUCGUUAGUGGUUACACUUUUUAACACUUGAUGUAUGGUUCUUAGUCGUGUCUAGUUGAACGGGUUGUAAACUUGGUUGUUUUGUUGAUGGUUAAAACAGGGAUAUGCUCGUCUUAUGGAUGGGUCAUGCCCAAAUUU
rnacentral:lncRNA from 1 species